CCUACGGGGUGCUGCAGUGGGGAAUAUUGGACAAUGGGCGAAAGCCUGAUCCAGCCAUGCCGCGUGUGUGAAGAAGGCCUUCGGGUUGUAAAGCACUUUCAGUGGGGAAGAAAGCCUUGGGGCUAAUACCCUCGAGGAAGGACAUCACCCACAGAAGAAGCACCGGCUAACUCCGUGCCAGCAGCCGCGGUAAUACGGAGGGUGCGAGCGUUAAUCGGAAUUACUGGGCGUAAAGCGCGCGUAGGCGGUCUGAUAAGCCGGUUGUGAAAGCCCCGGGCUCAACCUGGGAACGGCAUCCGGAACUGUCAGGCUGGAGUGCAGGAGAGGAAGGUAGAAUUCCCGGUGUAGCGGUGAAAUGCGUAGAGAUCGGGAGGAAUACCAGUGGCGAAGGCGGCCUUCUGGACUGACACUGACGCUGAGGUGCGAAAGCGUGGGUAGCAAACAGGAUUAGAUACCCGUGUAGUC
rnacentral:rRNA from 1 species